rnacentral:lncRNA from 1 species
UAUUGCUCUGAAUAUACGCGGAUAUUUAAAGUGCAUGGCGGAUUUAAUAAUUGUUAUGGAUAACCUCCAGCAGUCACUGCAGUUUUGACUGCUCAACAAGUAUUGACCCCAUACUAUGCUCAGCAAGUAGGGCCCUUGUAUUUCUGUGAAUCCUCAUGCAGUACAGUACUGCUGUUGGAAGAGGAGCAAACAGUGUGGUAUCUAUGGUCCACCAUCA